rnacentral:tRNA from 1 species
GCAAUGGUGGUUCGGUGGUAGAAUUCUCACCUUCCGUGUGGGAGACGUAGGUUCGGUUCCCGGCCAAUGCA